AACAGGGUCAUAAAACUACCCCUGGAAAUGCCCACAACUCCUACGAAAGCCUUGUCAAAUGUGUGUUUCUUAGGUUCAGGGUACAGAGGAAGGAUGAAACUACCAACAGGGUCAUAAAACUACCCCUGGAAAUGCCCACAACUCCUACGAAAGCCUUGUCAAAUGUGUGUUUCCUUAGGUUCACAGUACAGAAGAAGGGUUAAACUACCACCAGGGUCAUAAAGCUACCCCUGGAAAUGCCCACAACUCCUUCGAAAGCCUUGUCAAAUGUGUGUUUUCUUAGGUUCAUGGUACAGAGGACGGGUCACACUACCACCAGGGUCAUAAAACUACCCCUGGAAAUGCCCACAACUCCUACGAAAGCCUUGUCAAAUGUGUGUUUCCUAAGGUUCACAGUACAGAAGAAGGGUUAAACUACCACCAGGGUCAUAAAACUACCCCUGGAAAUGCCCACAACUCCUACGAAAGCCUUGUUAAAUAUGUGUUCUUGGGCGGCGAAAUAUCUCAUAAUACGACCCUCGGUGUUGGACUGUCGAACUGGCCCUUUGUUUCAGUAUAGAUGGCAAGCCUAAGCAACGUUGCCAAAUAACCGUACACAGCCUCUAAUAUUUACCCAUUUCCGACCCAAAAACUAUCUCCUGGGCCCCAGUAACGGGAUUAAUUUGUACUUAUCGUUAAGAUACAGUCAUCUCUCAAAUAGUUUGGUUUCGGUUUUAUACAGAUUGUCACAGAAGAUUUUUUAACCCGUCCGCUGCAAUUGGCACGGAUUCGGCUUUCACUGGCAGCCUGGUCACAUAUAGUGUCAGGUCCUUCUCUGCCUCUGUGGUGGAUAGUGGAGUGUUUCCCAUGUGGUAUUGGUGUGCUGGAUAUCCCUUCACUGGUAGCCUGGUAACAUACACUCCCAGGUCUUUCUCUGCCUCUUUGGUGGAUAGUGGAGUGUUUCCCAUGUGGUAUUGGUGUGCUGGAUAUCCCUUCACUGGUAGCCUGGUAACAUACACUCCCAGGUCUUUCUCUGCCUCUGUGGUGGAUAGUGGAGUGUUUCCCAUGUGGUAUUGGUGUGCUGGAUAUCCCUUCACUGGUAGCCUGGUAACAUACACUCCCAGGUCUUUCUCUGCCUCUGUGGUGGAUAGUGGAGUGUUUCCCAUGUGGUAUUGGUGUGCUGGAUAUCCCUUCACUGGUAGCCUGGUAACAUACACUCCCAGGUCUUUCUCUGCCUCUGUGGUGGAUAGUGGAGUGUUUCCCAUGUGGUAUUGGUGUGCUGGAUAAACUCUCCCAUGGUGCAGGACUUCACAUUUUUCCUCACUGAAUUGUAGCAGCCACUUUUGUUCCAUUCCUGUAGCUUGGUGAGGUCUUCUUGUAGGAAACCCGCAGUCAAGGGGUUAAGGAUUUUUAAAUUUCCUGCUUGUCGGAAAAUUUCAAAAUCACCCAAAAAAUCGUCUAUGAAAAUCCACAUAAAACCAAAACCGAACUAUUGGAAACCGCACUGUUUGAGGGACGGUUGUACUUAAUUGCUAAUGUUUCUUGGCAAUAUAGUUACGCGUCGGAAACCGGUCAACAGUAUGCUAUGAGUACGAUAAUCUCCCGAAAUUGACCUCUCUUUUUGGCCACUCCUUUGACCU